rnacentral:rRNA from 1 species
UUGAACGUUGGCGGCAUGCUUUACACAUGCAAGUCGAACGGUAGACCCUUUCGGGGGUUGAGAGUGGCGAACGGGUGAGUAAUGCGUCGGAACAUACCCAGUCGUGGGGGAUAACGUAGCGAAAGUUACGCUAAUACCGCAUGAGUCCUGAGGGAGAAAGCGGGGGAUCGCAAGACCUCGCGCGAUUGGAGUGGCCGAUGUCAGAUUAGGUAGUUGGUGGGAUAAAGGCUUACCAAGCCGACGAUCUGUAGCUGGUCUGAGAGGACGACCAGCCACACUGGGACUGAGACACGGCCCAGACUCCUACGGGAGGCAGCAGUGGGGAAUUUUGGACAAUGGGCGAAAGCCUGAUCCGGCAAUGCCGCGUGCAGGAUGAAGGCCUUCGGGUUGUAAACUGCUUUUGUACGGAACGAAAAGUCUCGGGAUAAUACCCUGGGACCAUGACGGUACCGUAAGAAUAAGCACCGGCUAACUACGU